rnacentral:lncRNA from 1 species
CUUAGCCAGGUGCCAUGGCACAGGCCUGUAGUCCCAACUGCUGGGAAGAUUGAGGUGGGAGGAUGGCUGCAGUGCCAGAGCCCAGGAGUUCAAGGCCAGGCUGGGCAAAAUAGUGCUCUGCCUCUGCUGGACUCUGUAGGGAAUCCUUUCUGUUCUGAAAGAGUUACCAUUUAACCCUCUUCACUGAGUACAUUUCUGAGACCUUGCUAGGCACUAUGGAAACUGCUUAGUUGAGAAAAGACAAAUACAAAAGCUUUUCUUUAGUCUAUUUAAGAUACAAUUUAUUCAGUUCACUUUGCUUUCUUUUUAUAAGAAGGUACAAGAGGCAGAGGUAAUCCUUCUAGAAAUAAAACUAAUUGUUAUUGAGAACUUGUAUGUACCAGACAGUACACUAAGCAUGGUACUUUUGUUUUUAAUUUAUUACAUGUAAUGUCAGUAGGUUCAAUUAUAUGAUCAGAACAUCUUCAUGACCAGCAGCAUGUAUUUUGGAGUUAGAAAAGUAGUCUGGUUUCUGAGAAGUUUUACAAGGUGUAUGUCCAAAAUUAUUGUUCUUUCCUCACAUGUCAGUGGGGGAUAAAUACAGCAUUGCUCUCACUUCUUUGAUUCUGGGCACUUUUUUGGAUACAUUUUCUUCAACACUGUUAAGGGGCCUCACUGUCAGAUUAACCAAUUAUUUUUCCACAGUUGGUCACCAGACUUUGGAAAAAAUCCAGCUCACCAAAAUUUUGGAUAUCCUGGUCUGUGGUCAUGAAAUGCUUUUCUUUUUGUAAAAUCUGUCACUGCAUCUCAUAGCAACUUGUUUUCACACAUGUUCUAGUCGUUCCCAUAACUUAGAUUUUACAGGAGGCAAAUUUACUAAAAAUGAGGAGACUAAAAUGAAUGACCAACUUUGAAUUUUGUCAAAUAACAUUGAAAAUGAAUUAUCUCAUAAAAGGUAAUUUUAAUACCCCAAAAGUAAGAUGGUUAUACUCUCAGAAUAAAGACUUUUUCCCUGCCACAUUUUCAGUUGUUAAAAUAUGCUAAGAGCUAUGCCCAUAUCUUUUCCCACCUGUGCAAAUUUUUCAGAAGCCUACAGUUGGUAGUAAGCUGUUGCUUUAAUAACUCUUUUAAAUAAGCAUUAUUAGCAGUUUCCAUUACUUCUUGUAAAUUUACAGAAUUUUAUCUUGUCCAUCUUUAAAAAAUAGAUAACUAAUAACCAAAUGUAUUUGAAUUGAUACAGUAUAAGUAACUUGUAGAACUUGAGGAUAAGUGGUAAAGGAAAAAAAAAAGUAACUUGACUCUUGAAAUACGUCUUGGGUUUCUAGAGCCUUCAAAAUACAGCCCUGUUGUUACUGUGUCACAUUAUGAUUGUUUUGAGGGCUACUUCUGCUUACCUAGGAAACUACUCAUGCCUUACUCAGCAAAUGAGCACCACCAUUACAUAAACAUCAGGUAUCCAAAAGUGUUAGCAGGCUUGAGGUAUGAAUGAUUCAUUCAUAUGGGUAAUUAAGCAAGUUGAAUUAUGGAAAGCAUCUCACAAUUCCCACAAUUCAGCUUUGAGUUCAAUGCCAAAUAUGAUGAUUCAUUAAGUUGCCUUUGUAUUUUGUAACCUAAUUUGUUAAUAAGUUACAGGAAGCCAAUUAAGCCAGCUGCUGAUCUAUAUAGUACUACCUUUCUCAUUGUGAUUCCAUAGUCUUCCAAUAGAAAUGUGCUAUCAGAAUCUGUAUAGAGUUUGUAAAUUGCACUAUUUAACAAGGUUCUUAAGAAUUUAGGUGGAUGUUUUAUUUGAUACCUACCAAAGAAACUUAACUAAUUGUAUAACACUUAACCCAUUUAGAAUUCAGUUGUGGCAGCAUAACCAAUCUGGAGAGACCAGGGGAGAUGUUACUAACGCUUGUACUUUAUUCAGAAGUGAUUGCCUCAUUGGCUUGGUGCAGUGACUACACACCUGUAAUCUCAGCACUUUGGGAGGCUGAGGUGGGUGGAGUACUUGAUCUCAGGAGUUCCAUACCAGCCUGGGCAACAUGGUGAGGUCUCAUCUCUACAAAAAAAUACAAAAAUUAACCGGGCACCAGUGGCGCACCCGUAGUCCCAGUUACUCAGGAGGCUGAGGCACAAGAAUCUCUUGAGUUGAGGAGGCCAAGGUUGCAGUGAGCCAAGAUUGUGCCACUGCACUCCAGCCUGGGCAACAGGAGUGAAACCCUAUCUUUAAAAAAAAAAGUAUUUUUUUCUUCAUCUAAUCAAAUUUAUUGGGGCAGAAAUCAGUACAAAGUUCAUAGGACAGGAGGAAACCAAUAUAAACAUCUCAGCAUUGUAGGAAAUUUAACCCAUGGAAAGCAGGGCUGAAUUAAAGACCACUUUGAAGGCCAGGAAAAGCAGAUAAUUUAGAUAUAGCCAAAGUAUAAAAUCAUUGAUAGAUCCAGAACAAGGGAAUGAUGUAUGUGUUUACAUAUUAGAUCUACUUUAUUAACAAUUUUCCCUCUGUUAAACUAAUAUCGACUAAUAGUAGUCUAGGUAAGUCAAGUUCAAAUUAAGUGGUAAUUGAAAAGUCUUCCUUUUAAAAAAUUUUUAAUGGUAGAGGCAGCAGCUACCCAGAGUCUACUUAUUCUUAUUUCACAUAGAAUUCUAACAAGUUAGGUUAUCUGAUUUCUGCUUCCUAACAAAUCACAAGUAUCGAAAGGGUCUUGCAGAAGGGGUGAACUAUAAAAUGUGACAGCUGACAGCAAGGCAUGGGAACAAAAAUAAACUUAAGGUGAACAUUAAAAGCAUAGAAGCUUGAGACAAUUUAUAGGAUUCUGCAUACAACCGUCUCUGAGGACAUCACUGUGAUCAAAUUAUACAAGUGAUGUUUAGUGAUGAAUUGGAAUCAAGAUAAGUAGUAUGUGUUAUUUAAAAAGGCAGUAUAUGUGUUGCAUUCGGUGGCAACAAUUUCCCCUUAGCUAUUUAGUUGAAAGCUUAGUGCUUAACAUGUUGGAAAAUUUAUGCGUAAAAUAUAUUGACUUAUUCCUUGAUGAUUGGAGGCUUUAUCACAGGAAGUUUUCCCAUUCAAUUGAAACAUUUUUCAAGCUUAAUGACUAUAAUUUACUACAUAAUUUAUUUUGUUAAAGUUUGAGGAAAACUAAAUAAAGAAGUAGCAAUUUAAGUCAUAAUAAAUUUUGUUAGAUGACUUCUUCCACUUUAAGGGGAAUUAAAAAUCUUGUUUAAAAACCACAUGUGCAGCAGUUCUGUGACCGCCUCAACACCUAGUUGGCCAUAUAGUCCCUUUGCACCACAGAGGUUGGAGUAUAGAAUAUGCCCAAAGCUGUUUUGUUUUGUUUUAACUAUGCUGCAUCAUCUGAGGUUGUGUUAACAUAGUUUGUCCUAAUAGUCUUUUACCGGAAAGUUGCUAUAUUUGAUUAUGUUCAGCAAGUAAACUAAUUUUAUCUACUUUCAUAUAUUUUGAGACAAAGUCUGGCCCUGUCAUCCAGGCUGGAGUGUGGGGACGUAAUCGUACCUCACCACAGCCUCAGCCUCAUGUGCUGAAGUGAUCCUCCCACCUCAGCCUCCCAAGUAGCUGAGACUACAGUCAUGCUUCAUCAUGCCCGGCUAAUUUUUUACUUUCCUAAGAGACAGAGUCUCACUAUGUUACCCAGGCUGGUCUCGAAGUCCUGGACUCAAGUGAUCCUCCCUGCCUCAGCACUCCCAAAGUUCUGGGAUUGCAGAUGUGAGCAACCAUGCCUGGUGUUUUAUCUUUUGCAGAUAUCCAAUUUAGUUAAGUCAUGUUGUAGCAAGCAUCAUUUUCAUAUAAAAAGUGUACAGUUCAUAUUAUUAGCAAAUGUAUUCUGUAAUUUUAUAUUAGUUAUGGUCUUGAAGGACAUUGAAAAUCUGUUCAGAAAGACUGUGUUUUUCAACCAGAGAUGACAUCACUCUAACUUUCCUUUGGUUUAAAUGCUUGAUUCUUUGCUUACAAAAUUUCUGUUUUGAACAAUUAUGGUGAGAAAGUAUAUUUGUGAUACUGUUUUCUUAGAACACUGUUGUCAGAUAGAUCAGCCAUAAUGUUAACACAUUUCUGAUCUCUAUUAUAAGGCUGUAAUUUUCCAAAAUAAGAUAGAAAAGGAGAAAAGGGUAGUACAUUUCAUAAUUACUGAGAUGAACCCUGUACUAGUGAGAAAAUAAAAAUGCCAACAAUUUAUUAAA